rnacentral:misc_RNA from 1 species
CCUCCAUGGCCUCAGCUCUUCACUCAAAUCUCACCUUUUCCACUUUCCUCUAUCCAAAACCCAAUCUCAAAACCCUAACCAAACCUCCGAACACCACUAUAGCUACAACCAUACGCUGCGGCGGUCCUCGAUCCAACCGCGGUCCUCUCGUCAGAGGCCGUAUCUUAAGUACCGAAGCAAUCCUUGCUGUCCAAUCUCUCAAACGAGCCUAUAAAAAAUCAUCAUCAAACCUCACAGAUCUCCCUGAUCUCUCCCGCCUCAUUAAAUCAGACCUCCUUUCUAUACUCCGCGAGCUCCUCCGGCAAGACCUCUGUCCCCUCGCCAUCCACGUGCUCUCAACGCUCCGAUCUGAAUACUCUGGCCAGAUUGAUUUGGGCCUCUACGCAGACGUAAUCUCUGGUCUCUCUAGGAACAAAUUGUGCGAGCACAUUGACAAGUUAAUUGAGGAUUUGGAGAAAGAUGAGGGUGGGAUUCAGUGGGAGACAGAUAAGGGAUUGUUGAGGGUGAUAAGAGGCGUGGUGGAUGCGGGAAGAAGGGAAUCGGCGGUGAAGAUUUGUGAGAUUUUGAGGAGGAGUGGGUGUGGGGAAACGUGGCCGGCGGAUGAGUAUGUGGUUGGUGUUUUGAGUAAAGGGCUAAGGAGGAUGGGGGAGACGGAGUUGGCGAGUGAGGUUGACGAGAAAUUUGGUGGGA